rnacentral:tRNA from 1 species
GCCCACAUGGUGGAAUUGGCAGACACGCAAGACUUAGGAUCUUGUGUCGAGAGGCGUGGGGGUUCAAGUCCCUCUGUGGGCACCA